rnacentral:tRNA from 1 species
GCUCAUUUGUAAGAAUCUGCCUGCAAUGCAGGAGACCCAGGUUCAAUCCCUGGGUUGGGCA